AUUUCCCUACGGUGUUCGUGAAGGCAUACAUUCCUUUGAACCAAUAAAGUUUGCUUCAGGUUGUCGGGAGUUGUAACAGGUGCGAGCGUUCCCUUUGUUGGAAUGCACCCGAAGUUACCCGAGAUAGCCGCCUUGUGUACAAGGUUCAAGCGGACUCGGCCGAAACGCCACCAGUGGGGUCUUA
rnacentral:other from 1 species